GUAAGUAUAGUUUAAUUAAAAACAUCAGAUUGUGAUUCUGAAGACAGAGGUUAAAAUCCUCUUACUCACC
rnacentral:tRNA from 1 species